rnacentral:rRNA from 1 species
GACGAACGCUGGCGGCGUGCUUAACACAUACAAGUCGAGCGAUGAAGUUUCCUUCGGGAAAUGGAUUAGCGGCGGACGGGUGAGUAACACGUGGGUAACCUGCCUCAUAGAGGGGAAUAGCCUUUCGAAAGGAAGAUUAAUACCACAUAAGAUUGUAGUACCGCAUGGUACAGCAAUUAAAGGAGCAAUCCGCUAUGAGAUGGACCCGCGUCGCAUUAGCUAGUUGGUGAGGUAACGGCCCACCAAGGCGACGAUCAGUAGCCGGUCUGAGAGGAUGAACGGCCACAUUGGGACUGAGACACGGCCCAG